rnacentral:tRNA from 1 species
AAAAAAAUAAGCUAAGUCUAAGCUAAUGAAUUCAUACUUCAUUUAUAAAGAAUAAUUCUUUUUUUUUUA